AUUGAACGCUGGCGGCAGGCCUAACACAUGCAAGUCGAGCGGAUGAAGGGAGCUUGCUCCUGGAUUCAGCGGCGGACGGGUGAGUAAUGCCUAGGAAUCUGCCUGGUAGUGGGGGAUAACGUCCGGAAACGGGCGCUAAUACCGCAUACGUCCUGAGGGAGAAAGUGGGGGAUCUUCGGACCUCACGCUAUCAGAUGAGCCUAGGUCGGAUUAGCUAGUUGGUGGGGUAAAGGCCUACCAAGGCGACGAUCCGUAACUGGUCUGAGAGGAUGAUCAGUCACACUGGAACUGAGACACGGUCCAGACUCCUACGGGAGGCAGCAGUGGGGAAUAUUGGACAAUGGGCGAAAGCCUGAUCCAGCCAUGCCGCGUGUGUGAAGAAGGGCUUCGGAUUGUAAAGCACUUUAAGUUGGGAGGAAGGGCAGUAAGUUAAUACCUCGCUGUUUUGACGUUACCAACAGAAUAAGCACCGGCUAACUUCGUGC
rnacentral:rRNA from 1 species